GAAUCUUGCGCAAUGGGCGAAAGCCUGACGCAGCAACGCCGCGUGCGGGAUGAAGGCCUUCGGGUUGUAAACCGCUUUCAGCAGGGACGAAAUUGACGGUACCUGCAGAAGAAGCCCCGGCCAACUACGUGCCAGCAGCCGCGGUAACACGUAGGGGGCGAGCGUUGUCCGGAUUUAUUGGGCGUAAAGAGCUCGUAGGCGGCUCACUAAGUCGGGUGUGAAACCUCCAGGCUCAACCUGGAGACGCCACCCGAUACUGGUGUGGCUAGAGUCCGGUAGGGGAGCAUGGAAUUCCUGGUGUAGCGGUGAAAUGCGCAGAUAUCAGGAGGAACACCAGUGGCGAAGGCGGUGCUCUGGGCCGGAACUGACGCUGAGGAGCGAAAGCAUGGGGAGCAAACAGG
rnacentral:rRNA from 1 species